UCAAACAACGGCAUCACUUUAAAAGUCAACAAGACAUGAUUUCUUAAUUCCUGGGCACAUAUCGCUUCUCUUCAAUGCAAGGAGUCCCUCAUGUAUAACCACAUAUUCGUGGGGGAAAACUUAAGAUUAUUUUCGCAUUAGUAAAGCCUAGCCUAUAGUCUUUUUACAUUUAUCUGAACUCCAGUUUAAAAGCGAAACUAGAAACGGAAACUGAGAGCUUUUCACCAGUUUACGCCUUGGUCUUCAUUUAUUUUGACGAACGAUGGGGAUUCAGAUUAUCUUCUCGCUUUUAUGGACAGUAUUUUUCUCACUGCAUGAAGCCAAAGAAACAACGAUUCGAUAUCAGCAUAGUGGAAUCGUCGGGGGGUCCCCGACUUCAGAAACCCUUACAAUUGACAGUGUCCCGAUCGGGUGGAGUGACAGACGAAACAACGGAUUUCUCUCUAUCAACACUGAAUGCCAGGGUCUUUUUCGCAUGACACUGAGGAUGAUCACCAGAAGUUUUAACCAUACAACAACGAACAAUCACACGUAUCAGCGCACGCACGAAUGCUUCCUGGAGGGGCACAGGGUGCUGCGCGUGUCAGACCGGAUUCACUACGAUGGGGCGGAGUACCUGUGUCUGGACAGCGCCAAGAACACCUGGAUGGCGGCCGUCCCACAAGCCCUCGCGCUAAAGCAGCAAUGGGACCGGGAGAGCGGAUGCACGGAGAGGCACAAGGUUCUCCUCCAGAACGGAUGCACCGAGCUGAUCGAAGAAUUCUCACGCGACAAACAUUCUGCCCCAGAGGCAUCUUUGGCUAUUGUAUUGAUUCCCAUCCUUAUAAUUGUAGUCCUCCUCUGUCAGUUCAUGGUCAGCUUCCUGAUUUCAAGACAUGGCUCAAGGCUCGCAGGAGGUGUUAUGGGGUCAAUCAUCCAUUACCCUCAGAGGAACGUGGGCAUCAAACCCUUAAAGGGAGACCCAGAAGAACACAACUUGGCAUUUACCCCCUCCAAAGGGGUAACACUCUUCCCUGCUGGUCAUCCCAACUUAGGGAGGGACACUGCAGGGCAGUGUGGUGCAACCUGUGGGCCAAAUCGCGCUAUAUGCAAAAAAUUAAUCGAGGCAUUUGUCGAUCCGUGCUUUGCUCAAAAUUAGAUUUUGCUCCCCAUUCAAGGCAGCAGUGGAGCACGAUGGUAGCAUAAUGGAGGAUUGGAUUUAUAACCCCAUAGUUGGAGAUUAAAUCCCCAGAUGGAGCACUGCUGUUGUACCAUUGAGCAAGGUACUUAACCUGACUUGCUUCAAUUUAUAUCCAGCUGUAUAAAUGGAUUGAAUAUAAGAAAUUAUGUAGCGUGUGUUAGCCACUCUGGAUGAGAGCAUUUUCUGAAUUCCUGAAAUGUACAGUGACAAGAAAUGCUUCAAUGAAAAAACCAAAAAAAAUUCCUCACUUUGUCACACCAAUUUUAUUUGAGUUUUUUUAGGUUUUCUCAAAUGAAAUGUUCAGAUUCAUUCAAAUGAACCUAAAGAUUUUCAUUUGAGAAAACCUAAAAAAUAUAAGGGUAACAAAUAAAAUAUAGAUUUUAGGCCCAUACAAUGGAACAUGAUUUUCAGUGUGAUGUGUAAAUAUGUAUAAAGAGAAUGUUGCCAAAAGAUAAAAAUGUAGCUUGACAUGCAAUGUUAUUUAGAUUUUUUAUCUGUCUAGGGUUUGUACUGAUUUUUUUUUGCAGACUGUGAACUACAUUUUAUUCAGGUUGGGAAAUUAGGCCUAUAUUGUUCAUAUGAUUGGCUAACUUUUGCAGUUCUUGCUUAUGGUUUGCUUGUCUAUUGCAGUUCUUGCCUCUAUUUGUCGUUUUGCUGACAUGAGACAGAAAUAAACAGUAAUAAGCCCAUUGA